CUUGGGCGUGAGGACACGCACUUUCUCUCCUCCCUUCCCCCGCCCCUUGCCCUUCUGCCUUCCAGGAUGGGAUGACCAUGACACAGCAAAAAGGCCAGGUGUCAGACCCUCAAUCUUGGACUCCUUAGCCUCCAGAACUGUGAGAAAUACAUUUCUGUUCAUUAUCAGGAAUUCUGCUACAGCAGCACAAAACAGACUAAGACACCAAGCUACCUAAAUCAGUUGUCUUCAAACGAGGGUCUGGAAGUUUCCAGUUUUCCUGCUUUCUACAAAAUUAGAGGAGAUGAAUGGCAAGCUAGUUGAUUCAUAAAAAUCCACUGUAUUUUGACAUAUAAUUUCAAAGGGGUAACUUUUUCAAAUAUGAUGAUCAUUAAACAAAAAUUCAGAAGACUAAACUUAGAACAAAACCUUCAGUCUUGAAUGAUCACCAAAACUACCACCACCAAGGUCAUCCAAGAAUCACCAAGUAUUCAACAAGAUUUUUAAAAAUAAAACAUCUUUCAA